GCCCAUGUAGCUCAAUGGCAGAGCAGCUGUUUUGUAAACAGCAGGUUAGCGGUCCAAAUCCGCUCAUGGGCUCCA
rnacentral:tRNA from 1 species